ACAACUCAGGGAAACUUGAGCUAAUACCGGAUGUGCCCUUCGGGGGAAAGAUUUAUCGCCAUUGGAGCGGCCCGCGUCUGAUUAGCUAGUUGGUAGGGUAAAGGCCUACCAAGGCUACGAUCAGUAGCUGGUCUGAGAGGAUGAUCAGCCACACUGGGACUGAGACACGGCCCAGACUCCUACGGGAGGCAGCAGUUAGGAAUCUUGCGCAAUGGGCGAAAGCCUGACGCAGCCAUGCCGCGUGAAUGAUGAAGGUCUUAGGAUUGUAAAAUUCUUUCAGCGGGGACGAUAAUGACGGUACCCGCAGAAGAAGCUCCGGCUAACUUCGUGCCAGCAGCCGCGGUAAUACGAAGGGGGCUAGCGUUGCUCGGAAUUACUGGGCGUAAAGGGCGCGUAGGCGGACAGUUUAGUCAGAGGUGAAAGCCCAGGGCUCAACCUUGGAACUGCCUUUGAUACUGGCUGUCUUGAGUUCGGGAGAGGUGUGUGGAACUCCGAGUGUAGAGGUGAAAUUCGUAGAUAUUCGGAAGAACACCAGUGGCGAAGGCGACA
rnacentral:rRNA from 1 species